ACUCCUACGGGAGGCAGCAGUAGGGAAUCUUCCACAAUGGGCGCAAGCCUGAUGGAGCAACACCGCGUGAGUGAAGAAGGGUUUCGGCUCGUAAAGCUCUGUUGUUAAAGAAGAACACGUAUGAGAGUAACUGUUCAUACGUUGACGGUAUUUAACCAGAAAGUCACGGCUAACUACGUGCCAGCAGCCGCGGUAAUACGUAGGUGGCAAGCGUUAUCCGGAUUUAUUGGGCGUAAAGAGAGUGCAGGCGGUUUUCUAAGUCUGAUGUGAAAGCCUUCGGCUUAACCGGAGAAGUGCAUCGGAAACUGGAUAACUUGAGUGCAGAAGAGGUAGAGGAACUCCAUGUGUAGCGGUGGAAUGCGUAGAUAUAUGGAAGAACACCAGUGGCGAAGGCGGCUACCUGGUCUGCAACUGACGCUGAGACUCGAAAGCAUGGGUAGCGAACAGGAUUAGAUACCCCUGGUAGGAUAGCC
rnacentral:rRNA from 1 species